UACGGGGGGAGCAAGCGUUGUUCGGAUUUACUGGGCGUAAAGAGCUCGUAGGCGGCUUGUCGCGUCGACUGUGAAAACCCGUGGCUCAACCAUGUGGUCUGCAGUCGAUACGGGCAGGCUAGAAUUCGGUAGGGGAGACUGGAAUUCCUGGUGUAGCGGUGAAAUGCGCAGAUAUCAGGAGGAACACCGGUGGCGAAGGCGGGUCUCUGGGCCGAUAUUGACGCUGAGGAGCGAAAGCGUGGGGAGCGAACAGG
rnacentral:rRNA from 1 species